rnacentral:rRNA from 1 species
GAUGAACGCUGGCGGCGUGCCUAAUACAUGCAAGUCGAGCGAACAGACGAGAAGCUUGCUCCUCUGACGUUAGCGGCGGACGGGUGAGUAACACGUGGAUAACCUACCUAUAAGACUGGGAUAACUUCGGGAAACCGGAGCUAAUACCGGAUAAUAUAUUGAACCGCAUGGUUCAAUAGUGAAAGACGGUUUUGCUGUCACUUAUAGAUGGAUCCGCGCUGCAUUAGCUAGUUGGUAAGGUAACGGCUUACCAAGGCAACGAUGCAUAGCCGACCUGAGAGGGUGAUCGGCCACACUGGAACUGAGACACGGUCCAGACUCCUACGGGAGGCAGCAGUAGGGAAUCUUCCGCAAUGGGCGAAAGCCUGACGGAGCAACGCCGCGUGAGUGAUGAAGGUCUUCGGAUCGUAAAACUCUGUUAUUAGGGAAGAACAAAUGUGUAAGUAACUAUGCACGUCUUGACGGUACCUAAUCAGAAAGCCACGGCUAACUACGUG